rnacentral:rRNA from 1 species
CCUACGGGUGGCUGCAGUGGGGAAUAUUGGACAAUGGGCGAAAGCCUGAUCCAGCCAUGCCGCGUGUGUGAAGAAGGCCUUCGGGUUGUAAAGCACUUUCAGUGGGGAAGAAAGCCUUGGGGCUAAUACCCUCGAGGAAGGACAUCACCCACAGAAGAAGCACCGGCUAACUCCGUGCCAGCAGCCGCGGUAAUACGGAGGGUGCGAGCGUUAAUCGGAAUUACUGGGCGUAAAGCGCGCGUAGGCGGUCUGAUAAGCCGGUUGUGAAAGCCCCGGGCUCAACCUGGGAACGGCAUCCGGAACUGUCAGGGUAGAGUGCAGGAGAGGAAGGUAGAAUUCCCGGUGUAGCGGUGAAAGGCGUAGAGAUCGGGAGGAAUACCAGUGGCGAAGGCGGCCUUCUGGACUGACACUGACGCUGAGGGGCGAAAGCGUGGGUAGCAAACAGGAUUAGAUACCCGGUAGUC